rnacentral:rRNA from 1 species
UACGUAGGGUGCAGGCGUUAAUCGGAAUUACUGGGCGUAAAGGGCGCGUAGGUGGUUAGUUAAGUAAGUUGUGAAAUCCCCGGGCUUAACCUGGGAAUGGCAAUUUAAACUGGCUGGCUGGAGUACAUGAGAGGGAAGCGGAAUUUCCGGUGUAGCGGUGAAAUGCGUAGAUAUCGGAAGGAACACCAGUGGCGAAAGCGGCUUCCUGGUCCAGCAUCGACGUUCAGGCACGAAAGCGUGGGGAGCAAACAGG